ACGGGACCCGCACAAGCAGCGGAGCGUGUGGUUUAAUUCGUUGCUACACGAAGAACCUUACCUGGGUUUGACAUAUAAGUUGUAGGGAACUGAAAAGGGACCGACCUUCGGGAGCUUAUACAGGUGUUGCAUGGCUGUCGUCAGCUCGUGUCGUGAGAUGUUCGGUUAAGUCCGCUAACGAGCGCAACCCUCGCCGUAUGUUACAAGUGUCAUACGGGACUGCCGGUAAAAGCCGGAGGAAGGUGAGGAUGAUGUCAAGUCAGCAUGACCUUUAUAUCCAGGGCUACACACACGCUACAAUGGUCUGUACAAUUGGUUGCCAAGCCGCGAGGCGGAGCCAAUCCGUAAAGCAGGCCUCAGUUCAGAUUGCAGUCUGCAACUCGACUGCAUGAAGCCGGAGUUGCUAGUAACCGCAGGUCAGCAAUACUGCGGUGAAUACGUUCCCGGGUCUU
rnacentral:rRNA from 1 species